rnacentral:rRNA from 1 species
GAAACCGUUCAGGGGUAAACCUGAGAAACCCAAAAGAUCGAAUGGGGAGAUUCAUCGUCGACGAGGCUGGCUUCCGUUGGUGCGCAGAUAGCCCGCAAUGGUGCCACUUAAUGUGGUUCCAGUGCGAGGGUACACCAUCUUCGGCAAAUGUUCCGGCCACGUAGUCGUGCACUUCUCCCUUAGUAGAACGUCGCGACCCGUUGCGUGUCGGUCUACGGCCCGAGUUUGUUGCCUGUCGUGUCGCCAUCGCGCGCACACGGCAGACGCUCGGUCGCCUGGCCGGCUGCGUGACGGUACUCUGACGGUAUCGGGCCGCAACCAAUCCAUUCCUAGAAUGUUUGUGCGUCGGGCCCGCCGCAAGCUCGGUUUUUCUACCCGGAGGCACGGACCUGGUGCCGGCUCCGGGCCUAACCAGCUGUUAGCAGGCGGUGUCCUCGGACUGGCCAAGCUUUGAAUUACCGGUCAGCGACGCUACUGCUUUGGGUACUCUCAGGACCCGUCUUGAAACACGGACCAAGGAGUCUAACAUGUGCGCGAGUCAUUGGGACAUUGAAACCUAAAGGCGCAAUGAAAGUGAAGGUCGUACCUUGCGUCGACCAAGGGAGGAUGGGCCGCGUCACGAUGCGGCCUCGCACUCCCGGGGCGUCUCGUUCUCAUUGCGAGAAGAGGCGCACCCAGAGCGUACACGUUGGGACCCGAAAGAUGGUGAACUAUGCCUGGUCAGGACGAAGUCAGGGGAAACCCUGAUGGAGGUCCGUAGCGAUUCUGACGUGCAAAUCGAUCGUCGGAACUGGGUAUAGGGGCGAAAGACUAAUCGAACCAUCUAGUAGCUGGUUCCCUCCGAAGUUUCCCUCAGGAUAGCUGGCACUCGCUCGUUCCUCUUUGCGAACGCGUGCGAGUCUCAUCUGGUAAAGCGAAUGAUUAGAGGCCUUGGGGCCGAAACGACCUCAACCUAUUCUCAAACUUUAAAUGGGUGAGAUCUCUGGCUUGCUUGGAUCAAUGAAGCCACGAGAUUUUGGAUCAGAGUGCCAAGUGGGCCAAUUUUGGUAAGCAGAACUGGCGCUGUGGGAUGAACCAAACGCGGAGUUAAGGCGCCUAAGUCGACGCUUAUGGGAUACCAUGAAAGGCGUUGGUUGCUUAAGACAGCAGGACGGUGGCCAUGGAAGUCGGAA